rnacentral:rRNA from 1 species
UCCUACGGGGGGCAGCAGUGGGGGAUAUUUCACAAUGGGGGGAACCCUGAUGCAGCGACGCCGCGUGGGUGAAGAAGCGCCUCGGCGCGUAAAGCCCUGUCAGCAGGGAAGAAAAUGACGGUACCUGAAGAAGAAGCCCCGGCUAACUACGUGCCAGCAGCCGCGGUAAUACGUAGGGGGCAAGCGUUAUCCGGAUUUACUGGGUGUAAAGGGGGCGCAGACGGCGAUGCAAGCCAGGAGUGAAAGCCCGGGGCCCAACCCCGGGACUGCUCUUGGAACUGCGUGGCUGGAGUGCAGGAGGGGCA